UACAUGGGGACCUGGUAUUGAGAGAUUUCACAGGAGGCUAAAACCCACUUACUGGUACAUGACCUCUGUUCUCGCAUUAGUGUGAGUCCUGGAUGACAGCUAUAUUCAUAACUGCCUUCAGAGUUUGUACAGAAGGUCUCACAGCCACCAUUAUGCUACAUUCGUCAAUGUCUAAGAAAAAUAAAAAUAAUAUCACCUUCAAAAAAAGAAAAAGGGCUAUACCAGUGUGAGGAGGCAUAUAAAAAAGGCCCUGAGCAGCACGGUUGUCAGCUUAAAAUUGCAUGAGUUCUGUUCGUUAACAGAAAUAAAAUUCUCUGGUGUUUUUAUGGUGUUAAAAUUUCUGGUCAUUCUUUGUCAUAAUAAAAAGGGAAUUCACACUUUGUCUCUGAUGAUUAGGAGUCUGAAUUUCAGGAUGCCACCUCAUAUGGUAGAAAAAUUAUUAGAAUGAUAUGGUAUGUGUCUUACUCUGUAUGGGUCACUGUAAUAAAAUACCACAGAGUGGGUUCUUAUAAACAACAGAAAUUUAUUUCCCAGAGUUCUGGGGCUUGGGAAGUCCAAGAUCAGUGUGCCAGCAUGGUUCUCUCUGGGGAGGGCCCUCUUCCUGGUUCAAAGUCUGUGCCCUCUCGCUGUGCCCUCCCAUGGUGGAGGGGCAAGCAAGCUUUGUGGGGUCUUGUUUAUAACAGCAGUGAUCCCCUUGAUGAUGGCUCCACCCUCAUGACCAAAGCACUUCCCAGAGGCCCCACCUCCCAACACCAUCAGCUUUGGGGGCUGGAAUUUCAACAUGAAUUUUGGUGCAGGGGGACCCAAACACUCAGACCAUAGCAAUAUGGUGUUGGAUUGGUGGGGUGUUUUUCUCUCUGAUUUCUUUGCAUCAGCUGGUGAAAACUCAAAGUGAUGAACUUUACAAGAAAUUGUUAACAUUUUACAAAGUUUUUUAGGAACUUGCACAACAUUAAUUUUGAUUGAAUAACCUAUGAUAUUUUAAGUAGGAAAAACGGAAUUUUCAUCCUUAGGUACCAAGGAAUUUGGAACUUAUUGUUUGUCAGAUUGAUUUUAAGUUUUGAGAUUGGGAAAAGGAUACAACUAUAAAGAGUUAUGACCGUAAGUUGAAAGUUGAAAGAUUUCUAACAAGUGGCUUCUAAAAAGCUACUUAUGAGAAGCUUAGAGCAUAGCGUCACUUCAGUGCGUGCAAGUGAGUCCCAUUCACCAUUUUUCCAGGGAUGUAAGAGAAAAGAUUCACAUAUAAAUUUCAAACAUAAGAUUAGAACUUUUCUGGUAAGGAAUGGUCUGAGCCUUGACAACACAACUUUGUCUUUUCUGGAGAAGAAACUAUUCUGGGAUAGCAGAUGCCUGGCUUUCUGCCCCGUACUGAGUGCCCUGCACUUAGUGAUAAUGUUCGCCUUUGGGCCUGCCCCAUUGCCCAGGGCACCAAAUAGCUUGGCAGUUCUGCCCGCAUAUUUUAUUGCAAUGAGUACAGGGCUAGUUUAAGGGUAAUGUUUUAUUUGUCUGCUUUAUAAAGGAAAUCAGGUAAGGAAACACGGAAAAAUCCCCAAGUAUUUGAGCAAUUCAUAGUAUACUCUGACUAGAACUAGCCUCUCCUUUCAAAUUCCUUUUCCUCAUGAAACUAGAUCCAAAUUUCUGAGGAAGGAUUAAAGGCUAAGGCAUAAGCUUAUUAAACUUUGUUAAAUAUAUGAAGGUUUAUCAUAAAGAAAAAUGAAAACAUGUCAUUUUUAAUUCCUUGGAUGACUAAACAGGACAAGAUAGAUUUUAAUUGAAGCAGAAUAGAUUUAGGUUAGAUGUAGGGAAAGAAUUUGACACGUUCAUUCUUCUGUGAAUUAGGCAGCAAAUAUUUUGACAAAAUUAAUUUUUGUUUAUGAUUGUGAAUAGCAAGCAGUGUGUCAUUUCAACUCAACAUGUACCGAGUGUUCACCGUGUAUCCGGCAACAACCUUGUGAGGGAGGUGGAGCUACCUUCUCAUAGGGAAGAAAACUGAAGUGAAAAAAAGAGUCCUCUUUGUGGAACAGAAAAAAAUACGCUCCCUCUAAACAAUGGAUUGAAAUGAAUUUGAUUAAUAAAUGAGAAGACUGAGGGCGGGAUACUGAUUCAGAAAUUCUGCAGCAUGUAAUAAAAGAAGAGGAAAUGGCACGGAAUCACUGCCUCCUGUGAUUUGAAGGCCAUUGUGAAAGGAACAAUGCAGUGAAAGAAAGUUCUUCAUAUUAGGACAUAUUAUUGCAUCACAUUUAUUUAUCUUUCUGGAUAUUUUUAUAGCCCUUAAUAAAAAACAUUAAAAUAGCCUA